rnacentral:snRNA from 1 species
GGGGGGGGGCAAUCUGGCUGCAGCAUCUGUCAACCCAUUGAUCACCCAGGUUGAUUUGGUUGAUCUGGCUGACUAAGUGGCUGUCCCCUCCCUCAUCACUCCAUGUGCGUCCUUCUAGAAGCUUCGUGCUUGGCGGUUCAUUGAAGAGGGCAACCUUCCCCAAUUAGAGACUUGAGAUGGAAUAGCCUUUGGUCAGUGGUAUAAUACUC